rnacentral:rRNA from 1 species
GACGAACGCUGGCGGCGUGCUUAACACAUGCAAGUCGAACGGACAGGCCCUGCUUUUGUGGGGUGCUCGUGUGGCGAACGGGUGAGUAAAACGUGAGUAAACUGCCCCUGUCUUUGGGAUAACUUCAGGGGAAUGGGGCUCAUACCGGAUAGGAGCUCCUGCUGCAUGGUGGUGGUUGGAAAGUUUCGGCGGUUGGGGAUGGACUCGCGGCUUAUCAGCUUGUUGGUGAGGUAGGUGCUGACAAAGGCUAUGACGGCUAGCCGGCCUGAGAGGGGGACCGGCGACAUGAGGACUAAGAGAGGGCCCAGACGCCUACGGGAGGCAGCAGUGGGGAAUAUUGCGCAGUAGGCGGAAGCCAGAUGCAACAGUGCCGCGUGCGUGAUGACGUCUUACGAGGUGUGAACCGAUUUCUCCGGUGACGAGGAGUGAUUGACGGUAAUGAAUAAAGAAGCACCGGCUAACUACGUG